rnacentral:rRNA from 1 species
UCCUGGCUCAGGAUGAACGCUGGCGGUCUGCUUAACACAUGCAAGUCGAACGCAACCUUCGGGUUGAGUGGCGGACGGGUGAGUAACGCGUGAGAAUCUGCCUUGGGGUCGGGGACAACCACUGGAAACGGUGGCUAAUACCGGAUAAGCCUUUGGGUAAAAAAUUUAUUGCCCCAAGAGGAGCUCGCGUCUGAUUAGCUAGUUGGUGAGGUAAGAGCUCACCAAGGCAGCGAUCAGUAGCUGGUCUGAGAGGACGAUCAGCCACACUGGGACUGAGACACGGCCCAGACUCCUACGGGAGGCAGCAGUGGGGAAUUUUCCGCAAUGGGCGAAAGCCUGACGGAGCAAGACCGCGUGAGGGAGGAAGGCUCUUGGGUUGUAAACCUCUUUUCUCAGGGAAGAAGCUCUGACGGUACCUGAGGAAUCAGCCUCGGCUAACUCCGUGCCAGCAGCCGCGGUAAUACGGAGGAGGCAAGCGUUAUCCGGAAUUAUUGGGCGUAAAGCGUCCGCAGGUGGCGAUUCAAGUCUGCUGUCAAAGCACGGGGCUUAACUCCGUUAGGGCAGUGGAAACUGAAUAGCUAGAGUGCCGUAGGGGUAGAGGGAAUUCCCGGUGUAGCGGUGAAAUGCGUAGAGAUCGGGAAGAACAUCGGUGGCGAAAGCGCUCUACUGGACGGCAACUGACACUCAGGGACGAAAGCUAGGGGAGCGAAUUGGGAUUAGAUACCCCAGUAGUCCUAGCUGUAAACGAUGGAUACUAAGGUGUAGCUUGUAUCGACCCGAGCUGUGCCG